CACAUCGCCUCUUGCCCCCCCCCAGGACUGCAGCAACGCCUGGUGCCAGGAGCUGAGCUGCGCCCUGGGGCGCCUGGAGCGCGGCGCCGAGGUCUCCGUCCACGUCCUGCGCGCCAUCCACAACGACUUCUUCCGAGCGGCUAAAUUCAGGAGCCUGAGGAUCGUCAGCACGGCCGUGCUGGGGGUCCCGGGGGGCAGCGCGCUGGUGCUGGGGGAGGCGGCUCAGCGCAGGGAGACGGUGCUGGAAAUCAUCCAGGCCAAGCGGGUGCCCGUCUCCCUGUGGAUCCUGGUGGGCAGCAUCCUGGGGGGGCUGCUCCUGCUGGCGCUCAUCAUCUUCUGCCUGUGGAGGCUCGGCUUCUUCACCCGCAAGAAGCUCCCGGAGGAGAAGGAGGAGAAGGAGGAGCAGUGAGCCCAGCGGCGGCCCCGCGCUUCCCGGCUCUCUCCAGCCCCAGCGGCCCCCCGAGCCCGGCACCAUGGGGAGGGGACGGGUCCCUUCCCUGUCCCCGGGGACGGCCGGGGGGGCUCGGGACUCCGCCAACCCCCCAACAUCCCCCCCCAGUUUUGGUUCCACCGUGGCCGAGGGCGAUGCCGGUGCCGGGUUGUGCUGGCGCGGACGCAGCCAGGUCGAGGUCGGGGCCGGCGCCGCGGCGCAGGAGACGCGGGCUCGGCCCGGAGGAGACGCGGGGGCGACGGCGCAGACGGGGACGGACGUGGGGCGACCACCGAAAAACAAAACAAAACGGCCCCACCAAUAAAGCUCAGCCCCGUGGAGGUGCUCA